AGAAGUGUCUCAGGGUUUGGGUAGGCCAACAGGAUAAAUCUUGCAGGAUACCCAAAUGAUAUCAAACAGGGUUCAUUUAAGGGAAGGGAAGGAAGGGAAGGGAAUUGGGAUGAUCUAACUAAAGACUAUAAAUGAACCACCCACCAAAUCCAGUUCUUAUCUUCUUAAAGUUGCCAUCUGCACUAUCAAUAACCUCUCUACCUAAAAGUCCCAGUUCCUACAAUACAUAAAACUCACUAACCAAAUUUCCCCUCAUCAGCUGGUGAAUAGAGUUGGAAAGGUUGGAGGGUAAAAAGGAACAAAGGCUCAAAGGAUCUCCCUGACAGUUGGCUUUAGAUGUCUCUAGCAGCUCUGUAGGAAUAUCUGUUAAUCAGAAGCUACAUGAUACACACACAGGAACAAGCAGUUGUAUCAGGACAGACACAAGAGAGGGAGAAAAAGUCAAAAUCACACAGCCCUCCGAAGGAGUUCAGACCCUCAACCUCCCCAGAUUUCAACUGCUCCAGGAGAAGCUCACACUGUCAUUUCCCAAAAAUUCUGGAAUCUUCUGGCUUUGAUCUAAAAAUGAAAGAAAGGAAAGAAAGAAAGGAAGGAAGGAAGGAAGGAAGGAGAAAAAGAAAGAAAGAAAGAAAGAAAGAAAGAAAAAAAGAGAAAGAAAGAAAGGAAAGAAAUGAAGCUGAGCGGCUGGAAGUGAUUCUGGGUCUGUUUUGCAUGGGAAGAUCUCAGCCUCCUGCACAAGGCUGUCCUGACAUAUAAAUGCAUCUCAAUCCUCAUCUGUCUCAUUCUGGGCUCAGAGCUCUCUGCCUGCAGCUCUACAAAGGACACAAGGAUGUCCCCAUCCCAGCUCCUCUGCCUCCUGCUGCUCUGGGCUCAGGAGUAUAGGACAGCCAUUGUGAUGACCCAGACUCCAGCCUCCCUGUCUGUGGCUCUGGGAGAGAAAGUCACCAUCACCUGUAGGGCCAGUCAGGGCAUUAACAAUUACUUAACCUGGUACCAGCAGCCUCCAGGAAAACCUCCCAAACCUCUUAUUUAUUAUGCUGGUGACCUAGAAUCUGGAGUCCCUGCCCGCUUCAGUGGCAGUGGGUCUGGGAUAGAUUUUACUCUCACAAUCAGCAAUGUGGAGGCUGAAGAUGCUGCACAUUAUUACUGUCUGCAAGGUUAUGAUUCUCCCACAGUGAUGGAGGCCUGA